rnacentral:rRNA from 1 species
UGGGGAAUUGUUCGCAAUGGGCGCAAGCCUGACGACGCAACGCCGCGUGGAGGAUGAAGACCUUCGGGUCGUAAACUCCUUUCGACCGAGAUGAAUACUGUUCGACCUAACACGUCGAAUGGCUGACAGUAUCGAGGGAAGAAGCCCCGGCUAACUCCGUGCCAGCAGCCGCGGUAAUACGGGGGGGGCAAGCGUUGUUCGGAAUUAUUGGGCGUAAAGGGUUCGUAGGCGGUCGACUCAGUCAGACGUGAAAUCCCUCGGCUUAACCGGGGAACUGCGUCUGAUACUGGUUGGCUUGAGUGCAGGAGAGGAAUGCGGAAUUCCAGGUGUAGCGGUGAAAUGCGUAGAUAUCUGGAGGAACACCGGUGGCGAAGGCGGCAUUCUGGACUGCAACUGACGCUGAUGAACGAAAGCCAGGGGAGCAAACGGGAUUAGAUACCCCCGUAGUCC